rnacentral:rRNA from 1 species
AUUGAACGCUGGCGGCAGGCCUAACACAUGCAAGUCGAGCGUGAGGCGGACGGGUGAGUAAUGUAUGGGGACUGCCCGAUAGAGGGGGCUAACUACUGGAAAAGGUAGCUCAUACCGCAUACUAUCGGAUACCCCUUAUGGGAUUAGCUAGUAGGUGAGGUAAUGGCCAACCUAGGCGACGAUCCCUAGCUGGUCUGAGAGGAUGAUCAGCCACACUGGGCCUGAGAAACGGCCCAGACUCCUACGGAGGCAGCAGUGGGGAAUAUUGGACAAUGGGCGCAAGCCUGAUGCAGCCAUGCCGCGUGUAUGAAGAAGGCCCUAGGGUUGUAAAGUACUUUCGGUCGGGAGGCGUUACCGACAGAAGAAGCACCGGCUAACUCCGUGCCAGCAGCCGCGGUAAUUC